UACAGAGGUCCCGAGCGUUGUUCGGAUUCACUGGGCGUAAAGGGUGCGUAGGUGGCGUGGUAAGUUUGAUGUGAAAGCUCAGGGCUUAACCCUGAAAUGGCAUUGAAUACUACUGUGCUGGAGGUUUGGAGGGGGGACUGGAAUUCUUGGUGGUAGCAGUGAAAUGCGUAGAUAUCAAAGAGGAACACCAGUGGCGAAGGCGAGUCCCUGGACAACACCUGACACUGAGGCACGAAAGCUAGGGGAGCAAACGG
rnacentral:rRNA from 1 species